GUGGGGAAUCUUCCGCAAUGGACGAAAGUCUGACGGAGCAACGCCGCGUGAGUGAAGAAGGUUUUCGGAUCGUAAAGCUCUUUCGUUAGGGACGAACGUGCUCUUUGUGAAUAAUGAGGAGUAAUGACGGUACCUAAAUAAGAAGCCACGGCUAACUACGUGCCAGCAGCCGCGGUAAUACGUAGGUGGCCAGCGGUGUCCGGAAUUAUUGGGCGUAAAGCGCGCGCAGGCGGGAUAUCAAGUCUGUCUGAAAAGUGCGAGGCUCAACCUCGUGAGGGGACGGAAACUGGGAUUCUUGAGUGUCGGAGAGGAAAGUGGAAUUCCAAGUGUAGCGGGGAAAUGCGUAGAGAUUUGGAAGAACACCAGUGGCGAAGGCGACUUUCUGGACGAUGUCUGACGCUGAGGCGCGAAAGCUAGGGGAGCGAACGGGAUUAGAUACCCUAGUAGUCC
rnacentral:rRNA from 1 species